rnacentral:rRNA from 1 species
UACGUAGGGUGCGAGCGUUAAUCGGAAUUACUGGGCGUAAAGCGUGCGCAGGCGGUUAUAUAAGACAGAGGUGAAAUCCCCGGGCUCAACCUGGGAACUGCAUCUGUGACUGCAUUGCUGGAGUGCGGCAGAGGGGGAUGGAAUUCCGCGUGUAGCAGUGAAAUGCGUAGAUAUGCGGAGGAACACCGAUGGCGAAGGCAAUCCCCUGGGCCUGCACUGACGCUCAUGCACGAAAGCGUGGGGAGCAAACAGG